AAUGAACGCUGGCGGCAGGCCUAACACAUGCAAGUCGAACGAGCUGGGACCUUCGGGUCCCGAUGCUAGUGGCGCACGGGUGAGUAACACGUGGGAAUCUACCCAAUAGUACGGAAUAACUGAGGGAAACUUUGGCUAAUACCGUAUACGCCCUUCGGGGGAAAGAUUUAUCGCUAUUGGAUGAGCCCGCGUCUGAUUAGGUAGUUGGUGAGGUAACGGCUCACCAAGCCGACGAUGAGUAGCUGGUCUGAGAGGAUGAUCAGCCACACUGGGACUGAGACACGGACCAGACUCCUACGGGAGGCAGCAGUGGGGAAUAUUGGACAAUGGGCGCAAGCCUGAUCCAGCCAUGCCGCGUGAGUGAAGAAGGCCUUCGGGUUGUAAAGCUCUUUCGACGGGGACGAUGAUGACGGUACCCGUAUAAGAAGCCCCGGCUAACUUCGUGCCAGCCGCCGCAGUAA
rnacentral:rRNA from 1 species